AAAGACCUUAUGCUUCUGGAGCGGCCGAUGUCUGAUUAGCUAGUUGGUGAGGUAAAGGCUUACCAAGGCGUCGAUCAGUAGCUGGUCUGAGAGGACGACCAGCCACACUGGGACUGAGACACGGCCCAGACUCCUACGGGAGGCAGCAGUGGGGAAUUUUGGACAAUGGGGGAAACCCUGAUCCAGCCAUGCCGAGUGAGUGAAGAAGGCCUUCGGGUUGUAAAGCUCUUUCAGCCGGAACGAAACGGUCAGGGUUAAUACCCGUGACAACUGACGGUACCGGAAGAAGAAGCACCGGCUAACUACGUGCCAGCAGCCGCGGUAACACGUAGGGUGCGAGCGUUAAUCGGAAUUACUGGGCGUAAAGCGUGCGCAGGCGGUUUUGUAAGUCAGAUGUGAAAUCCCCGGGCUUAACCUGGGAACU
rnacentral:rRNA from 1 species